UGGGGGAUAUUGCACAAUGGGCGAAAGCCUGAUGCAGCGACGCCGCGUGGGGGAUGAAGGCCUUCGGGUUGUAAACUUCUUUUGCUCUGAACAAGGCAUGCCUUUGGGGUGUGUUGAGCGUAGGGGUUGAUUAGCGCCGGCUAACUACGUGCCAGCAGCCGCGGUAAUACGUAGGGCGCGAGCGUUGUGCGGAAUUAUUGGGCGUAAAGGGCUUGUAGGUGGCUGGUUGCGUCUGUCGUGAAAGCUCAUGGCUUAACUGUGGGUUUGCGGUGGGUACGGGCUGGCUUGAGUGCAGUGGGGGAGGCUGGAAUUCCUGGUGUAGCGGUGGAAUGCGCAGAUAUCAGGAGGAAUACCGGUGGCGAAGGCGGGUCUCUGUGCUGUAACUGACGCUAAGGGGCGAAAGCGUGGGGAGCGAACAGG
rnacentral:rRNA from 1 species